rnacentral:rRNA from 1 species
ACGAACGCUGGCGGCGUGCUUAACACAUGCAAGUCGAACGGAAAGGCCCUGCUUUUGUGGGGUGCUCGAGUGGCGAACGGGUGAGUAACAUGUGAGUAACCUGCCCUUGACUUUGGGAUAACUUCAGGAAACUGGGGCUAAUACCGGAUAGGAGCUCCUGCUGCAUGGUGGGGGUUGGAAAGUUUCGGCGGUUGGGGAUGGACUCGCGGCUUAUCAGCUUGUUGGUGGGGUAGUGGCUUACCAAGGCUUUGACGGGUAGCCGGCCUGAGAGGGUGACCGGCCACAUUGGGACUGAGAUACGGCCCAGACUCCUACGGGAGGCAGCAGUGGGGAAUAUUGCACAAUGGGCGGAAGCCUGAUGCAGCAACGCCGCGUGCGGGAUGACGGCCUUCGGGUUGUAAACCGCUUUCGCCUGUGACGAAGCGUGAGUGACGGUAAUGGGUAAAGAAGCACCGGCUAACUACGUG